rfam:TPA: Bos taurus chromosome 18, whole genome shotgun sequence.
UUCCUGGUGGUUCAAUGGCUAAGACUCCCUGCUCCCAAUGCAGAGGGCCCAGGUUCGAUCCCUGGUCAGGGAA